CACAGCCAGUAUAUAACCCACCUGCAAAGGAAAGAACACCAUUCGAAUGUGUUUGUAUGUUUGAGUUCAAAUAGAAUGCAAACAUAUAAACAGUAGUAAAUUAUUUGCAAUGUAGAGUAAUUCAUUAAUUGUGGAUACUAGAGGCUAAAUUGAACAAUCCAACUAGUGCAAAGCUAUCCAAUGCUGAAUCAAUCUACUACAAUUUCAACAGGAACCGAAACUUCUGCUUCUACUUCAUCCAUUUUCGAUUUGAGUGUAAUAACAACGCUAUGUCUUUUUGUGCUGCUGUUGUUUAACCUAACUUUUACUCUGUACUUCUACAUUUCUUGGAAGAAAAGGCUGGGAAUAAGGCGCAGACAGAGUACAGAAGAGGCAGAAACACGACCGUACAAUACAUGUACAUCUGGAAUCGCAUCGACAACAUCAGAUCACGCGUAUACGGGAGUUGGCGUACGGAACUCCAACUGCAGCUAUGCUUCCUACGACACCCUCGAUUCCAGAUAUUGCUUGAACCCUGUCAUGUCACGUGGCAGGCGCCAGAGUGACAAAUGGAAAACUUUGACGACAUUCUUUACUUUAAAUGCAAAAGACGUACAAAAUAUUCUGUCGAAAUUAGAAACUGAAAACGAAUCAACUGUUUAACUCGGGUAAAUAAUAUACAAGUGAUUGCUCAAAGCAAACCGACCUUCUGUCUUUGUUGGAAAAUGCUUUCAAGUUUUCGUCAACACAGACGUCGACCUAAUUAUGUUUUAAUUAUAUGAGACAAAAUAUAAAGGAAAUCUCAUUUCAGUAUUAACUGCAGUUCUGAACUGACUGGAAAUCAUUUUUUUAAAUGAUGUAAAAACCAGAAGUGUUUCUUUUCUUCAUAAUCAUAACAUACGUUUUAAAUUAUGCUCUUAAACUGAUUUAUUUACGUCAUAUCAUAAUUGACAUCACCUCUUGUUAUCCUAAUCAUUCCAGUGAGACUCUAUUGAACAUUCGAGAUGAAAUGAUCAAUGUUUGUUUAGGAGGAAGAUCGUAUGAAUGCAAACUUCCUUUUUUGUUUGGAAAGAGAAAUUUAAUUGGCUUGACUUAUUUGGCAUAAUAUUUCUCAAAAUAAAUCGUAUAGCGUGAAUUUUUACGUAUUUGAACUAAUUAUCAUUUUUUAAUUUCUUAAUUUGGAAUCAUGUUAUAUAAUAUUGACAGACCAAUGACACCCCUUCCUCCUAGAUUGAAUUAAACCACCCAGUCUUAUAACAUUUUAAUUUGAAAUGGUACAAACAGCGACAUAUAUUCGAAAUAAGGUCACAUGUAUCAACUAUCAAGUAAUUGUUCCUCAACAUUUGCAUGACAUAUAUUAUAAUGGGGCAUACAGAUAUUAGCAUAUAAAUUGCCUUAUAAAAUAGCCUAUAAUUCUAUGUGAAUUUUGCGAAACGGUGAGCCUCUGGAAACAUAAUUAUAUAAUUGAAAUAAUGCACAUUAAAAACGAAAGCAUAUGGUAGAAUAUCAGACUUUUAUUAUAAGUCCAGAUUUCAACAUCUCCUUAGUCUUAAAACGUAUC